CUAUUGGUUAUGAUGAAUUGGAGGUUGUAGGAAAGACGUUGUAGAAUAACAAAACAGAGACAAUUUUUAGAAUGGUCAAUGAUAAUUGUGGAAUAAAUCAAAAGCUUAUUUUAGUUAUUAUUAUUAUUAUUAUUUUGAAAUUUGUAUAUUUGUGAAAUUUGUUUUUUUUAUAACUUCAAAAAAUAUAUUGAUUUUUUUUUUGAAGGGCCUAAACCGUAAUUUAAUAUUUUUAAAGAGAGGGGUUAAUCGACAAUUUAGCCAACAAUAUGGCGGAAAAUGGCGGGAAACGAGAACCCCGUUCAAGCCUUCAUUCCUCCAUUGCUGCAUCUCCGAUUGUUCUUCAAAACUCUUCUCUUGGUUCGGUGUGGAUUUUGCUUUCUUUUUUGUUUUUGGUUUCGCUGAUUGGAUCUGUUUCCUAUUUAGAAGCCUGUGGCAGCACCAUUGACGAUAGAGGAGCUUGGGAUGGCGACCUGGACACUUCUCCACACUAUAUUGCAGCUCAGUUUCAGACAACUCACUGAGGCAGCAAAAGCAUGAUGUCAAAGAACUGAGCAAAUCCUGUGCAGGCCGGAUCACAGACAGAGUUACCUCAGUUGCUGUGUCAUGUGCACAAUGUUGUCAACGAAAGCCUUGGGAAGCUGAGUUUUUUCAUGCCAGAGAGUGAAUGCUAGAUGCGGCAAGCUUAAUUGCAAGGAUCAUGCCCGUGAUUUGCGAGGCACUUCAAGCUUUAGCAGAUGUUCCUCAAAUCUGUUGAAUGGAUAAACCACAAUUGCAUUAAAAAGAGAGAACAACAGUACAAAGAAAACAAAACAGACAAACAACUCCACUAGAAAUGGAAACAAAAGCACAUAACAAGGGAAACAAACACUAAGAGACGAGACAGCACACUGAGACACAUGGAGGAGGAGAGAGGAACUCCUCCAAGACACAGCAGCA